GCCGCUGUGGCUCAGUUGGUAAGAGCAUCGGGCGCGUAAUCCGAAGGUCGCAGGUUCGGUCCCUGCCGGCGGCA
rnacentral:tRNA from 1 species